UUUUGGAACUGAGGGUAUUUUCUUAACAGAAAGAAAAGUUCUAAAAAGGGAUAUAUAUAUAUAUAUAUAUAUUUAUUCUGGAAAUGUCCACAAUAAAGAUCAAGCACAUAUGCAAAUAAGUAGCUUUAAUGAACAGCUUCAAACCAGCAUCUAUUUCUAACUGGAUGCAAGAGGCUUAUAUUUAUUUUAACUGGAGAUUUCAGGGAGAGUCUGAAGGUAAAGCUCAUUUUACCUUUCACUCUGCGUAAGCCAACAUUAAUGACACGAUGUAGCUGUCAUUUCAUUCAGUUAUUUAAGAAGAAAUCUUAAGAGUUCACUUUUUAGCUUUUAUGUUCUGUUUUUUUUGUUGUAGGACUGGUGGAUAUGUUCCGUUCUUUUGAAAGCCUGUUCAAGCCUGAGGUCUGUUUUCAACACAUUUUUGUUGCAGGGACACAAUGAGUACCUCUACAAUUUUCUUAUAUUUUGACUUCAGUUAUUCCAAUUUCCUGUAGUACUGGACUUAAAAUCAGAUAAGCUAGACAGAAAGUGUAUUUGAAAAGUGAUUUGGGGUUUUCUCUUCUUACUCCUGAAUCUGUCAGAAGAUGCUUCUAGCAGGCACAAGACAUCCCCCAUGCUUCAGUCACAGGGGUAUUGCCUCUUUUCAAACAACCAGUGUAACACCUUUUUCUCUGCAGGAAGAUCUUCCUUUUUUUUUUUUUUUUUUUCAGCACAAAAGUAGCCAGGUGCAUUAUGCAGAAUGUGAAAUACAGCCACUGAACAAGCAAUAAAUUAACCUUACCAUCAAUGUGAAUUAGCUGGAAUACGAGUUUAAGAGCUGAAUAAGCUGAACGCCACAUUCCUACUCCUCAUAUUGACAAGUGACUAAUUCCAAGGAGAAGAUCACUGCUGGUCCAAAGUGCCACAGAAAAAAGUGUGGGCCAAGAAUAAUCUCCAUAACAGACUUGUGAUACAGCCUUAGUACCAGUUGUCAACCUAUCAGAGUGACCUGUCCGAGGCUCUCCACUGUCAUACUGCCACUGAAAAAUCCUGUCUCAUCAACCAAGGAGGAAAAGGUCUCUCUCUGAAAAGUGAUCUCUACUCUGCUCAGCUGCACCUGAAUGGCUGUGAAUAUAAGAAAUUCCAGAUUCAAACAUAAUCUUAAAAUAUCUGAACUCAGCUGAGAAAUUCAGCACUCACUGAAAUCAUCACAGUGUCAUAUUGUUUUACUAGGGCCAGGAUUCAGUGCAUCUGGCUGUGGUGCACUUACUGUGUUGCAGAGGCUUGCAGCUGGCUAGUUUGAGUCCCAGACUCUGGGCUAGCAGUACUGGAAAUGUUCUCUGUCAUAUCUUAAUGUUGACACUAUGCUGAAUUUUAAUGUCAACAAUCAGCCAAGAGUGCUCUCUAAGCAAAUCUUGCCCACGUUUUCUCCAUGUGCUGAGCCACAAAACCUAGUUAGGUGUUCUGGAGCCUGCUCAGCUAAACUGAAAAGAAGGUAUAAUGGUUUGAUUUGGUUAGUAUGUACAGAAAUGUCAGAAUAGGAGCCUGUAUUCAAGUUGCUCUUCCUGACUGAAGUUGGAUAAACUUUUCUUCAAAUGAGCAUGGAAGAGGUUAUUUGCUUUUUAAGACUAAGCAGCCCAGCUUAAAUACUUGUUGGGAGGCCGUCUUUUAAUUAGGGACCAUAAAGAUCAGGAUGUUCAGAUGCUGAGAUAUCAACGGAUGCAAAUUUUACUUUUAACUGCUUAUGAGGCAUCUACUUGCUCAUGAUCUGUUUGGUACCCACACUUGCAGGCAUCUGUUUGAAUGGCCUAUUCCCCACCUUCAGGUUAGUCAAGUUCAUGCCUUAAGGCAUAGCCACGAAGGAAACAUGGCUUAUCUGUACAGUUUGUGUAACGCUGCAGGAAACUCAUCUCCAGAAAUAACAUUUGUAGUGAUGUUACCUCCAGUUCCAACAUGCUUUCUUGUAUUCGAGUACAUCUCUUGACACUUAAAGUAAUAAAUCUACAGCUAAAACAUGCCCAUACAGAAGUUAUGUCAAAAGUGUUUGCUAUAAUUGGAAACCCUCUUGGAAAAUGAUGUGGAUCACUGGAGGUAUUAAAGCAUGUGUUAGAAGGUGAGUCUGUCUAUAGGCAACCAACAGUACAUGGAAAAGUAGCUCCCCAGCCAGGCAAAACAGCAGAACUGCCUUCAGUGGACGUUGACUGCUCUAUCUUUUAAAAGAUGUGCAUGUAUUUAAUAGACACUAUAUGAGAAUGCCACUGAAAAUACCAAGAAUGAAGCAGAAAGACCUCAAAGAGGAGAUCUGUAUCAAAAUAAAAUGAAACUUGUAAGUCAUUAACUUUGCUUGUUGUAGUUAUGCUGAAAGAUGUUGAACAGGGAAGGGAAAGACAUAUUUGCCACCUUACCCAGAGGCACGCUUAUAUUGACAUUUUUUGGCAUGGUUGUUGUGCAUUGAAAGUGAAUUAAAUCCUGACUUUUACUAGCAUAAAAGGACUGCUAAAGCCAUUAGCUCUGACAACAGAAUGAGAGAAAGUCAACUUUAAAACUGCUCAGAGUUCAAUAGAAGUCUGCUCCAGGCAUCUUUACCUGCCCCACCUAGUCAAAACCUAAGACUUCAAAAUCUUUCAAGUACAUGGAAUUUUACCAAAAUGUCUGUUUUUCAGCACUUAAACCUGCCACUUCAGGGCUAAGACACUGCCUUGGAGACCUGGUUCAAAUCUCUGCUCUGCCUACUUUGCUUUGGGACUGAGAUUUUUUCCCUUCCUUCUCUUUCUCUUCCCUUUCCCUUUCUUUCCCUUCCCUUUCCCCUGAGAAAUCAGCAAGACCAUGUUCAGAGUUGCAGACAUGGAAAGGUUGCACAUUUUGUGACCACCUUGCUCACUCAAGUUCAAGAGGGAUAGUCUUCAGCACGGGCUCAGGAUGUUGAUAAGCCCUACUGUGCCUGUGCCUACCUGUAUACACACAGAUGUGCUAAGUCACAUAAAACCUGAAAUUCUGAUGGGUACUACACAAUUUUCUUUUGUUCUGCUCAGGUUUUUUUCCUAAGACUAGCGUAUUUCCAGCUGUGGACAGGUCACAUAUCUUACUAGAUGUGGUGACUUUUAAAAAUCUUAUUAAUUUGGUAUGACCUUUUUUGCCUUUGGUAUUAAUUUUACUACCUGCAUGACAAUUAAAUUAAAUUUAUUUUAUUUCUUAAUAUGAUUUCCUCUGUAAUGAUGUAUUUACUCUCUUUACAGUGGGGACAAGACUGUUACCUCUUUCAUAAUUAAGUUCAAGUAGUGCUAUCAAAGCUACAUUAUAAAGUCCUAAUUAACUAUUAAGAA